rnacentral:rRNA from 1 species
AUUGAACGCUGGCGGAAUGCUUUACACAUGCAAGUCGAACGGUAGAGGGGGGCAACCCCCUUGAGAGUGGCGAACGGGUGAGUAAUAUAUCGGAACGUGCCCAGUCGUGGGGGAUAACGUAGCGAAAGUUACGCUAAUACCGCAUACGAUCUAAGGAUGAAAGCGGGGGACUCGCAAGAGCCUCGCGCGAUUGGAGCGGCCGAUAUCAGAUUAGGUAGUUGGUGGGGUAAAGGCUCACCAAGCCAACGAUCUGUAGCUGGUCUGAGAGGACGACCAGCCACACUGGAACUGAGACACGGUCCAGACUCCUACGGGAGGCAGCAGUGGGGAAUUUUGGGACAAUGGACGAAAGUCUGAUCCAGCCAUUCCGCGUGCAGGAUGAAGGCCCUCGGGUUGUAAACUGCUUUUGUACGGAACGAAAGGUUCUAUUAAUACUAGGAGCUCAUGACGGUACCGUAAGAAUAAGCACCGGCUAACUACGUG